UGCUGGAUGCCCUCCAAAGUUAAAAUUAAUAGUAAUGAUUACAAGACAAAUCACCAGCCAAGUGGUAGGGAAACGUUCUGUGCAGGGCAACCUGGGGCACGUGGGUGCUUAGGAAUGGCACUGCCCAGGUGUGAGAGAAAAAGCUGCACUCUCAAUUCUAUGUUGUUACAGGGGAGGCCACCAGGUGCUGUGGAGGCACCAUGUGAUCUGGCAUCUGCUCCGGCCUCUGCUGCCUACCUGCAGUGUGACCUUGGGAAGUCCUCCAAAAGGCUCCAAGUCUCUGUAAACAACUUGCACAAGCUUUGUGAAGAUACAAGGAGCUACAGGUCUCCAGUGGCUUUGAAGUCAGCCUUCAGUCUGAACACCACUCUACUUGCCACUUCUUUGCUGGAUCAUCUUGGGCAACUUGCUGUAACUUUCCUGAGCCCAUGUCCUCGUCUAUAAAACGGGGAGAAGUCCCAAUUUACAGAGCUUGUGAAGAGCCAAUGAAGUGCUUCCAACUGUCUACUCUGCCAGUGCUUCUGCAGCUCCAGCUCACCCCCACCACAUCAGGAGGUCAGCAGGAAAGUGGGGUGGCUCAGAGGCCACAUUUUCUGCUGAGGUUUGCAUCCGAGCCCAGAUGGCAUCACACAGCCUGGAAGUCAGGACAGAUGUGACAAGGAGAUGGACUUUGUAGCCAACUCAAAUUCUGGCACUAUCGCAUAUUCGCUGUGUGACCUUGGGGCAAGUCAUCAACCACUCUGAGUUUCAAUGCCCUCAUCUGUAAAAUAAGGAUGAUAAUAACAGUUCCCAUAAUACAUCGCUAUUAUUGUGAGGGCUAAAUGAGGUAAUAAAGUGCUAAGCACGUACAGCAUA